GCCGGUGUAGCUCAGGGGUUAGAGCGGAGCUCUCAUAAGGCUUAGGCACAGGUUCGAUUCCUGUCACCGGCA
rnacentral:tRNA from 1 species